CUACGGGACGCUCCAGUGGGGAAUCUUGGACAAUGGGCGCAAGCCUGAUCCAGCCAUGCCGCGUGAGUGAAGAAGGCCUUAGGGUCGUAAAGCUCUUUCGCCAGAGAUGAUAAUGACAGUAUCUGGUAAAGAAACCCCGGCUAACUCCGUGCCAGCAGCCGCGGUAAUACGGAGGGGGUUAGCGUUGUUCGGAAUUACUGGGCGUAAAGCGCGCGUAGGUGGAUUAGUCAGUCAGAGGUGAAAUCCCAGGGCUCAACCCUGGAACUGCCUUUGAUACUGCUAGUCUUGAGUUCGAGAGAGGUGAGUGGAAUUCCGAGUGUAGAGGUGAAAUCCGUAGAUAUUCGGAGGAACACCAGUGGCGAAGGCGGCUCACUGGCUCGAUACUGACGCUGAGGUGCGAAAGUGUGGGGAGCAAACAGGAUUAGAUACCCGCGUAGUC
rnacentral:rRNA from 1 species